CAAUAGCUCAAAUUUGAAAUCUGGCGUCUUCGACGUCCGAGUUGUAAUUUGUAGAGGAUGCUUCUGAGUAACCACCGACCUAAGUUCCUUGGAACAGGACGUCAUAGAGGGUGAGAAUCCCGUAUGCGGUCGGAAAGGUGCUCUACACGUAGCUCCUUCGACGAGUCGAGUUGUUUGGGAAUGCAGCUCUAAAUGGGAGGUAAAUUUCUUCUAAAGCUAAAUAUUGGCCAGAGACCGAUAGCGCACAAGUAGAGUGAUCGAAAGAUGAAAAGCACUUUGGAAAGAGAGUUAAAAAGCACGUGAAAUUGUUAAAAGGGAAGGGAUUGCAACCAGACUUGCUCGCGGUGUUCCGCCGGUCUUCUGACCGGUCUACUCGCCGCGUUGCAGGCCAGCAUCGUCUGGUGCCGCUGGAUAAGACUUGAGGAAUGUAGCUCCCUCGGGAGUGUUAUAGCCUCUUGUGAUGCAGCGAGCGCCGGGCGAGGUCCGCGCUUCGGCUAGGAUGCUGGCGUAAUGGUCGUAAUCCGCCC
rnacentral:rRNA from 1 species